AUUUUAAUGAUCGAACAGAUCAAAAUUUUAAACUUUUGCAUUUAAAUUUUAUCUUAAUCCAACAUCGAGGUCGCAAACUUUUUUUUUUAUUUGAACUAAAAAAAAAUAUUACGCUGUUAUCCCUAAGGUAAUUUUUUCUUAUAAUCAUUAUUAAUGGAUCAUUUAAUCAUUUAUUUAUGUUUAAUUUUUAAAAAAAGUUUAUCAUAUUUUUCUAUCACCCCAAUAAAAUAAAUAAUUUUAUUUUAAUAAAAAAUUUAAUAUAAUUUUAAAAUAAAAAUAAAUAUAAAACUCUAUAGGGUCUUCUCGUCUUUUAAAAUUAUUUUAGCUUUUUAACUAAAAAAUAAAUUUCUAAAAAUAAAUAAGAGACAGUCUAUAUUUCAUCAAAUCUUUCAUACAAGUUUCCAAUUAAAAAACUAUUGAUUAUGCUACCUUUGUACAGUCAUUAUACUGCAGCCCUUUAAUAAUUAUCAGUGGGCAGAUUAGACUUUAAAUUAUAUUCA
rnacentral:rRNA from 1 species